AGAUAAUUUAGCAAUUGCCUAGAGAAAUAUUGUUAUAAAUGAAACGGAACUACAUAUAUCCUUUGCACGUGCAUUUUGUGGCCAACAGGAAAUCUAUUUAAAUGUGCCGGGGUCGACAUCAAAAUGCGAAGCCCUCAACAAUGGGGUAACACUGCGCGAACGGGGGCAACACGCAGACGUCGGCGCUCGCUGCACGCGACACAAAAAGCAACCCGAGUUAACACACAAACACACACAGCACACAAGCUGCGCGGUCAAGAGUCAACAGACGCAGCAUUAAUGCUUUGAUUUGUGGCUCUCCUACCACGAUUUAGGCCAUGAUGCGCACACUUUUUGCUUGCACUGUGUGCAUAUAAUAAGGAAAAGGAAACGCAAGUCUUUUGUUUUUGCUGCCUGUAUUAAAAUUUCCAAAUGGACUGCCAAAUUAAGGACUACAAGGAGCUCUAAGGACCUCCACGAGUGACAAAGCAGAUUUUUCCAGGAUCGGACUUUAAUUAGGCCAGAUAUAGAUAUUUUAAGUUUCAAUAAGCUAAAAUUAUAUUUUUAGAGAAAUAAUUAAGAAAACUAGCAUAAAAAACAACAAUUUUGUAAAUUUAAACAUAAAUAAAUCAAUUAUUUGAAAAACAAAAACUAAA